UAUGACAUGAUAGCAAAGUCCCAAACAGGAGUGGGGCAUCUGGUUGAGAUAAUUUAAACUGAGGUUGAAUUCGAAUGAGUGCAUUGUCAGAGUGUGAUCCGGUAAGCUGUUGGGGGUUCAUUGUAAGGGAGGAAUCGAGGUUCAUCCUGCUUUAAAAAAAAAAAAAAAAAAAAAAAAAAAAAAAAAAAAAAAAAAAAAAAAAAAAAAA
rnacentral:lncRNA from 1 species